rnacentral:lncRNA from 1 species
UUCCAACACCGGUAAUUGUUCCAACAUCGAGCGAACUGCAAUCUCCGCAUCCUCACCGGUCACCGAACAGUUCUGUCACGGAACCCAUCGCGGUUCCGCGAACUGCAAUCUCUCGCGGUUCUACGAUGGGUACCGGAACUGCAGCUCGCGAUCACGAUGGUUGCCGGAACUGCAAUCGCGAGCCGCGAUCGUAGAAUCGAUGGGUACCGGAACUGCAAUCUCCACGAACUGCAAUCGCGAGCUGCAAUCGUAGAAUCGAUGGGUACCGGAACUGCAAUCGCGAACUGCAAUCUCCACGGAAGCCAUCGCGGUUCUACGAUGGGUACCGGAACUGCAGCUCGCGAUCACGAUGGUUGCCGGAACUGCAAUCGCAGUUCCAUCACUGCAAUCGAUGUCGGACCUGCAGGAUGUAGUUCCGGCAGAUUUGGUGUCGCACGGGGGAACGUUC